ACUCUAGAAAUAGGUACUAAAAAAAAAGUAUUUAAAGAUUGCCAGCUGAAACUAUUACAUUAUCCUUAACGAGUUCCGUCACUUAUACAAUCGUCAAACAUCAAAAUACCAGGUUUGUACUUAAAAUACAAAAUGUUUCCGGUGCAAAUAUUGGUUGUUUUAUCAACUAUGAUUAUAAUUAAUCACGCAGCAACGUUGAACUACGAGCAUCAAACGUCAGUAACAACUGGUUAUGAAGUUGAUAAAGAGUCAUAUGAGAUGAUAAACGAUAAGACAUAUUAUAAUCCUGAUAUUGCACCUUCAUAUGAUUUUAAUACAACAGAUUCAAAUGGAAAUAUCAUAAAUUCAAAUGAAACUGCUUUACCUGUUGUAAAAAGCUUACCAAUUAUUCCAAUUAUCUUUGGAGGGAAGGUGAUUUAUGAUAUUUUAAACAAAAUAUACUUUAAUAAUAAUAAUAAAAAUUGAAUAUAUUUACUAAUUAUAAUAUA